AGAACGAACGCUGGCGGCGUGGAUAAGACAUGCAAGUCGAACGCGACUUACAGUGAUAGCAAUAUUAUUGUAAGUUGAGUGGCGAAAGGGUGCGUAACACGUGGGAAUUUACCAAGAAGUGGGGAAUAGCUCGACGAAAGUCGAAUUAAUACCGCAUACGAUCGCAAGAUCAAAGCCGGGGACCGCAAGGCCUGGCGCUUUUUAGAGAAGCCCGCGGCCCAUCAGCUAGUUGGCGGGUAACGGCCCACCAAGGCUAUGACGGGUAGCUGGUCUGAGAGGACGACCAGCCACACUGGAACUGAGACACGGUCCAGACACCUACGGUGGCAGCAGUCGAGAAUUUUUCACAAUGGACGAAAGUCUGAUGGAGCGACGCCGCGUGGAGGAUGAAGGUUUCGGAUUGUAAACUCCUGUCACUGCAGAACAAGGAUACGCCAGUUAACAGCCGGCGUAUUUGAUGGUAUGCGGAGAGGAAGGGACGGCUAACUCUGCG
rnacentral:rRNA from 1 species